UUAAUAUAUUAAAUUAAACCACUAACCCAAGCUAGCUUGGAUAUGAUGGAAACCUCUCGUAGAGUAAAAGGGUAAAAGCUCAUUUGAUCUUGAUUUCCAGUAGAAAUAUAAACUACGAAAACAUGUCAUAUUGAUCCUUUUCAAUUUCUGUCAGAAAAG
rnacentral:ncRNA from 1 species